rnacentral:rRNA from 1 species
UACAGAGGGUGCAAGCGUUGUUCGGAAUUAUUGGGCGUAAAGCGCGUGUAGGCGGCUUUGCAAGUCGGGUGUGAAAGCCCUCAGCUCAACUGAGGAAGUGCGCCCGAAACUGCAGAGCUUGAGUACCGGAGAGGAUGGCGGAAUUCCCCAAGUAGAGGUGAAAUUCGUAGAUAUGGGGAGGAACACCGGUGGCGAAGGCGGCCAUCUGGACGGAUACUGACGCUGAGGCGCGAAAGCGUGGGUAGCAAACAGG